GGGAUGACACAGUAGGAUAAGCUAAGCACACUGUUGGUUAUGUGUGCCCAAGCAUUGAGGCAGUCAAAGUAGGCAAAUCCGCUUUGAUAAUGCUGGGAUGUGAUGGGGAGCGAAAUUUAGUAGCGAAGUAGCUGAUUUCACACUGUCAAGAAAAGUCUCUAUCGAGGUUAAAGGUACCCGUACCGCAAACCGACACAGGUGGGUGAGGAGAGUAUCCUAAGGCCAGCGAGAGAACUGUUGUUAAGGAACUCGGCAAAAUGACCCCGUAACUUAGGGAUAAGGGGUGCCACCAUCAGGUGGCCGCAGAGAAUAGGCCCAAGCGACUGUUUACCAAAAACAUAGGUUUCUGCUAAGUCGCAAGACGAUGUAUAGGAGCUGACGCCUGCCCGGUGCUGGAAGGUUAAGGGGAUCUGUUAGAGCAAUCGAAGCAGUGAACUUAAGCCCCAGUAAACGGCGGCCGUAACUAUAACGGUCCUAAGGUAGCGAAAUUCCUUGUCGGGUAAGUUCCGACCCGCACGAAAGGCGUAACGAUUUGGGCACUGUCUCAACAACAGACUCGGUGAAAUUGUAAUUCCGGUGAAGAUGCCGGAUACCUGCGACAGGACGGAAAGACCCCAUGGAGCUUUACUGUAGCUUGACAUUGGGUCUUGGUACUACAUGUACAGGAUAGGUGGGAGGCUUUGAAACCAGGACGCCAGUUUUGGCGGAGCCAUCCUUGGGAUACCACCCUUGUAGUACUGGGACUCUAACCAUAGGCCAUGAAUCUGGUCUUGGGACACUGUCAGGUGGGCAGUUUGACUGGGGCGGUCGCCUCCCAAAAGGUAACGGAGGCGCUCAAAGGUUCUCUCAGUACGGUCGGAAAUCGUACGUAGAGUGUAAAGGCAAAAGAGAGCUUGAUUGCAAGACAUACAGGUCGAGCAAGGAUGAAAAUCGGACUUAGUGAUCCGGUGGUUCUGCGUGGAAGGGCCAUCGCUCAACGGAUAAAAGCUACCCUGGGGAUAACAGGCUUAUCUCCCCCAAGAGUCCACAUCGACGGGGAGGUUUGGCACCUCGAUGUCGGCUCAUCACAUCCUGGGGCUGUAGUAGGUCCCAAGGGUUGGGCUGUUCGCCCAUUAAAGUGGUACGCGAGCUGGGUUCAGAACGUCGUGAGACAGUUCGGUCCCUAUCCGUCGCAGGCGUAGGAAAUUUGAGAAGACCUGUCCUUAGUACGAGAGGACCGGGAUGGACGUACCUCUGGUGUACCAGUUGU
rnacentral:rRNA from 1 species